AUUGAACGCUGGCGGCAUGCCUUACACAUGCAAGACUAACGGCAGCAUGGGCUUCGGCCUGAUGGCGAGUGGCGAACGGGUGAGUAAUACAUCGGAACAUACCUCGUUGUGGGGGACAACUACUCGAAAGAGUAGCUAAUACCGCAUAAGAUCUACGGAUGAAAGCAGGGGACCUUCGGGCCUUGCGCAUUGAGAGUGGCCGAUGGCAGAUUAGGUAGUUGGUGAGGUAAAGGCUCACCAAGCCUGCGAUCUGUAGCUGGUCUGAGAGGACGACCAGCCACACUGGGACUGAGACACGGCCCAGACUCCUACGGGAGGCAGCAGUGGGGAAUUUUGGACAAUGGGCGAAAGCCUGAUCCAGCAAUGCCGCGUGCAGGACGAAGGCCUUCGGGUUGUAAACUGCUUUUGUACAGAACGAAAAGCUUCGGGCUAAUAUCCUGGAGUCAUGACGGUACUGUAAGAAUAAGCACCGGCUAACUACGUGCCAGCCGCCGCAGUAAAAC
rnacentral:rRNA from 1 species